UGGACCACUGAUGACCACUGGUGGCGUGUGAGUCAUAGAUGACGAACACGAUGUGUCUGGAUCCCUGGGGCUCAA